rnacentral:lncRNA from 1 species
GCUGGGCUGGCCCUGUGACUGUUUUGAGCAAUGCAUACAAUGUGGUGAAAAUUAUUUCUGGGACUCCUGAGUCCAGGCACCAAGAUCAGGAAGCUUCUCCUCUUGUAUUUAGGGGAAGCUGGCCACAUUGUAAGAAGUCGGACUAUGCUGAGACUGUCAUGAUGACAGAAAACCCAAGCUAGCCAGGUGGAGAGAUCACACAGAAAGAGAUGCCUGGCCAGCUGUUACCUGAUAUGCCAUCAUGUAAGUAAAAAGUCCACCUUGGAUGGUCCAGCUCAUAGAUGCCAUGUACAGCAGAGGUGAGCCAUUCCUGCCAAGCCCUGCCCAAUUGCAGAAUUGUGAGUAAAUAAAUAAUUACUAUUGUUUUAAGCCACUAUAUUUUGGGAUGAGUUGUUACAUAGCCAUUGAAAACCAAAACACCUCUCUCCACCAAGUCAUUUCCAUCACUUCCUUCAAGACGGAGGCCAAGUCACCUACAUUGGAAACGUACCUGACAAGCUCAAUACAGCUCAUCUUAUUUUAGAAUUUGGUAGUUUGGAUUAUGCAGUUCUAUGCCUGCUUUUGGUCAGUUUCAUACAUUUACCUAUCCCUAAAAUUAAUAAUGACAAUGGCCAAUGCUGAGCAUCAUGGAUCAGGCACUGUGGCUGGGAAUAAUGUUAUUCCUAUUUUACAGAUGAGGAAACUGCGGCACUGAGCGGUUAAGCACCCUAUCCAAAGGUGGUUCUGUAUAAGUACCCUUCCCAAUGUCCUUGUCCCUCUAUUGCUUUGGUGAUAUGCACUUUGAACUUGAAGUGCUAAAAAGGAAGCUGAUGUGGAGACAACAGAAUGGCAUCUGUUUUGCAGGCAAGAAGAUAAAGGAAGGACAGAGGUUAAACUAAGAGAUGCAGAAAUUAUAGUAUAUCAGCCAGGUGUGGUGGCUCAUGCCUGUAAACCCAGCCCUUUGGGAAGCCGAUGCGGGCGGAUCACGAGGAUAUUAAUCCAAGGAACAAUACUGACGAAUUUCACGGACAAAAUACUAAGAAGGAAAUCAAGUGAAUCAAGCGGAGAAGAAAGACAGUGGAAAAAGAAAACUGAAAAUAAAAAUAUUUUCUAGACCCCUUGAAAUAAAGUUUGAAAAACCACA